rnacentral:rRNA from 1 species
UCCAGAGGGUGCAAGCGUUGCUCGGAAUUAUUGGGCGUAAAGGGUAGGUAGGUGGUCUCGUUUGUCGGGGGUGAAAGCCCGGGGCUUAACUCCGGAAGUGCCUUCGAAACGGCGAGACUAGAGUCUUGGAGAGGAUUGCGGAAUUCCCGGUGUAGCGGUGAAAUGCGUAGAGAUCGGGAGGAAUACCUGUGGCGAAGGCGGCCAGCUGGGCCAGAUCCGACACUGAGGCGCGAAAGCGUGGGGAGCAAACAGG